rnacentral:sRNA from 1 species
CUUUCCUGGAGGUCACCCAUCCUAGUACUACUCUCACCCAAGCACGCUUAACUGUAGAGUUCUGAUGGAAUCUGGUGCAUUAGUGCUGGUAUGAUCGCAUCCGUAACUACAUGCAAUGCAAUCGUAUCUAUUCUUUUUUGAAGACUUUAUGAUCGAUUUGCCGUGGGUCCCACCAGCUAUGUAGGAAUACCCUCUC